ensembl:lncRNA
CUGCGAUCCACAGUUGUGUACAGGGUCCUAAAGAAUCCCUGGAAGACUACAGAGACAGGUUGGAGAAGUGUUUCAGGAAAUACAGUGGCCUGACCCUGAGAACUUUAAUAGCCUUAUAAAGGCUGCCCUGGCGCAUGGCCUCCAGCCUGCUUUGAGCAAAACUGUGAAACUCACUUGCAUUGGGUGGGAGACAGUACUUCUACAGACUGUGAUUGAACAUUGUAAACAUGCAGAACGGCAGCAGCAUUGCACUUAUAACAAGGCUAUAUCCAAACAAGGAAAGGAAAUCCCCAAGCUCGAGGCUGCUCAGCUCAUGUAUUAUCAGGGACAAGAGAAUGCCCUGACCCGGAGAGACAAGAAGUUGUGGGUGGCAGAUGGGACCAUCAAACAAUGUCUUCACUGCAGCGCUUGCUCAGAAUUUGGAAGGGUUCGUACCUCCGGCAGGAGGACCACAGUGGGAAGCAGCGGUCAGUGGCGUACUACUCCAAGCAUU